CAUCGUAUGGAAGGAGUGAUAUACACUUGCGUCCCGAUCAGGUCAGGUCUUUCAUUUUAAUUUGUGCAUUGUGAGCAGCUAGUUCCUCUUCCAACAACAGAAAUGUCACAACGGCCUUAUUUAGAUCAAGAAGAACGCUUUCGGCCAAUCUGUUACAGACACAACACAAACAAACAAACAAGAGGGGUAGUGAAUUGCGCGACACAUAAAAUAUUGGGUUCCGCAAUCAUAAACAAACAAAAUUGGGAACCCAUGGAUGUAGUUAACAAAAAGUGAAAGGUGGUGUUUACACAGAAGCUUGCUGCAGUAGUACUUCUACAUGUGAGUACAACAGGGACACCCUUUCCUCCCCCGUUGGGAUAUACAUACCCCCCAUCCCCCGAAUUGGAUCAUGGCUUUGGUAAAGUUCACCAGUGAUGUAACUAAGGAGCUACCUUGUUUUGUGGUGCAAGGUCGUGCCCUGGGAUUUCUCCGGCGAAAAAAUCCUUGCUGAAGAGGAUUACCCGGUGACUAACUAAGGAAUGGCCUUGUUUGUGAUUUUCUACUGCAUUAUCAACUACAUCAGGAGCAAGACAUAAUAUAUUUGCAUAACAUCUGCAUAUAAAAGUGGGCCAAAGAUGAACCCUUGGGGAACUCCGUGAUACGGAGCACUACACACUGCUUUCUAUUUGUAAACUGAUGUGUAAGUGCAGUGUGUCCAAUUUGUAUACGAUGAAUCUUAAUAUUCUCUUCUCUUAGACCCAACAUUCCUAGUAGAUAUAGUUUCUAACAUCGGCCUCUAUCAUAAAAGUGACGCCUACUCGAGGAUUAGAUGCUCCUUGCAGGCGACAAAGUCUGCUUAUUCUUUUCCAGUGCUUUGUUCUAGGGCCUAAUUCGGAGCAGACUGGUACAAUUGUUCAUGGUGUCUUCGGAAUACAUCGUGACCAAAUUAUGGGUAACGAUUAUAAACUUUCCUUCUUCUCACAAUAGAGCACAAGAAUUGAAUUGUGAUACUCCAUCAACCAGCAUUCUCAGCACCGUUCUCAGUUUUGGAUCCAUCAAAAUUCUGUGAAUGGGAUAUUUAUUACAUAUGUUUUGGGAUUCCCGUAGAUAAGUAUGAUCUUUCGUAGUUCCUUUUGCAAGGCCUUUUAGGCCUGUUAUAGUCCUAAAAUAUAUUUAUUAAUAAUCGUAUGCAAUUAAUACAUUUAAUUAGUACAUUAUUACCGAUACGUAUACCAUGAAGGCUCUCUACACAUCCUUGGUUGGGAGCAAAUUAGAGUAUGGGGCGUUGAUUUGGUACCCCCUGUAUGUAAAAUACGAUGAAGCAAUUGAAUACAUCCAGCGGCGUCUUGUUAAAUACUUAUGCUACAGGAAAGAUGGAGUCUAUCCACCCAGGGGGUUUUCUCAGCAGAUAAUGUGUGAACGGUUUGAGCUGCUGCCCCUUAAAACUAGAAGGAAACGUCUCUGCCUAUCAUUUCUCUAUAAUAUCUUAAAUAAUAAAAUUAAUUCCCCGUCUGUGCCCGGGAAAAUUGGAUUCUGCGUCCCACGUUUGCCCUCAAGAUGCCCAGCACCAUUUUACCUACCAAGAUGUAAGACCCAUGUGCUUCAGAGAUCUCCAGUGCAUUUAAUCUGCUCGUUAUUUAAUGACUUAUCCGCGUCAGUAGACGUUUUUCAUGAAGGUUUGGGUCGGUUGUUGCAAUCAUUAGAGUUAUAAUUUAUUUUCUUUAUUAAUAUCUUGAAGUGUUUUUUUUAAAUUAAUUACUAAACUACUC